GAUGAACGCUGGCGGCGUGCCUAAUACAUGCCAGUCGAGCGAACAGAUGAGGAGCUUGCUCCUCUGACGUUAGCGGCGGACGGGUGAGUAACACGUGGAUAACCUACCUAUAAGACUGGGAUAACUUCGGGAAACCGGAGCUAAUACCGGAUAAUAUAUUGAACCGCAUGGUUCAAUAGUGAAAGACGGUUUUGCUGUCACUUAUAGAUGGAUCCGCGCCGCAUUAGCUAGUUGGUAAGGUAACGGCUUACCAAGGCGACGAUGCGUAGCCGACCUGAGAGGGUGAUCGGCCACACUGGAACUGAGACACGGUCCAGACUCCUACGGGAGGCAGCAGGAGGGAAUCUUCCGCAAUGGGCGAAAGCCUGACGGAGCAACGCCGCGUGAGUGAUGAAGGUCUUCGGAUCGUAAAACUCUGUUAUUAGGGAAGAACAAAUGUGUAAGUAACUAUGCACGUCUGGACGGUACCUAAUCAGAAAGCCACGGCUAACUAAGU
rnacentral:rRNA from 1 species